rnacentral:lncRNA from 1 species
CAGGCACUAUCGCCUGCCUGACACUGUGCUGUGCAGCCCAGUGGGGAGACCAGCAAGGAGAUGGAUUGAGGGAGUUAGCAGGCACAGUAGUGCUGUGCAUUUGUUAAAGAAUGUGGGCGUGGUUGGCUAGGUCUUGGGGCCUGGCCAGCUAGGACCCAUGGGCGUGGUCAACUAGGAUGGGGGUGUGGUCAGUUAGGUGUGUGAUCCUGGUCAGCCAGGCUCUAAGGAAUAGUCCUUUAGAUCUGCUAAGUCCAUUGACUCUGGAGUCCCCUGGAAGAGUGGCUAACCCAGCUGUGACUCCCCAGCCAGGGGAGAACUGCCUAGAACCAGGACCAGAUGUCAGAGUUCAAGUGCUGGCCACAGACAAGCCUGCAGGAGAUGAGAUGGAGCAGCCUCUAUGGGGUCACACUCACCACGCAGUGAUGACGAAGCUUCCUGAGGAUGGUGCAAGGAGCUCAUAUUCUGGAAAAUUCAUCUGGGGCAGCACUGGGGACAUGAGAGACACUGUGGGCCACUAGAGCUGGCUUGGCCUUAAUUUGGUCCCCUACCGACAGAGAGAGGCCCAGGUGAUUGAGCUGUGACAAGUGGCAGAGACAGGAGAGGCCCAGCUGUCUGGACAGUUGCCCACAUUCCAAUCUCAGGAUGCUUUGACUGCAAAGCUAGGAACCAGUAAAUCCAACAGCACCUGGCCUGGUGGCCAUGCUGGUGCUGUUCCUGCACUUGGCCCUGCAAUGGCUCAAAGGAACGGGACCCAAAAGAGACACGGCUUGCUUAACACCCCAUCUUAGCAACAUCAUGCAGCUCUUUCUGCAGUCACUGGCCUUUCCUCCUUAGCUGCCAGAACCCCACAUUGCAGAGGAAGCCUGUGCACAGUGAAGGGGAUGUGGAACCUGGGAGCCAGUCCCCAGCACUGUCACUGGGCCAUAGCUGCUGAGAGGAAAGGGCAGCCUGGCCAGAGUAAGCACAGUGGCCAUUGGGAGCCAUGGGCCUGGCCUGCGGCUCUGCAACUCUUCAAAUUAAGGAACCAACAAAGCAUCAGGUGAGAAAGCAGAUGCCAUGCCUGUGCAGAGCUCUACAAGGCAAGCGGUUGUUGUCAUUCUCAUGCCAUGGUGCCGUGCAGAUGUUGCAUGUGCAUGGUACAUGCAUGGAAGCCGUGAUUGGCAGGGGCCCAGAAAACCUGCAUCAUCUAUUCUUGUCCUUGGUCUGAGGCGCCUCUCACCUGUCUUACCAAUCUCACAUUUCUGGGGCUUCACUAUGGAAGCCUCUUCUGCUAUGCAGAAAUCCGGGUGUCUGUGGGGGCUGGUUCUCCUCAGAUGGGUGCCCUCCUUGUGCGUGACAACAGAUGAGCUAUAUUUCAAAACAAAGUGCUGUGUUAUAAUCAUCUGCCUGAAUUCCCAGGGUAUCUUUUACCUGACUUGAUAACAAUGUUCUUCAUUAGCAGCGUUUGUUAACUGAUAACCUGAAGCAGUAACUUGGUAUUCAUAAGCAAUUUUCUGUAUGUAAGAUAGAAUAAACCAUCUUGUAAGGGAUCUGUUAAUUGAUUUGCUUCUUUUAGCAGCAUUUUAAUUAAGGCAUCUGGUUUUGGAGGGCAGAAAUAGUUGUGAGCAGAAGGGAAAGGCUCUGGAUUCUCAGUCCAUGAAAAUGUCCUGUGCACUGAGCAGAGAAACACAGUCAUGUGUCACUCGGUGACAAGGACAUGUCCAGGAAGUGUGCAUUUGGGGUUCAUCACUAUGUGGAUGCGGCAGAUGCCCGCACAGGGACUGCGAUGGUUGUGGCAUUACUAUGAUACCAUGCAUAUGGUCCAUCACUGAUGGAAAUAGCGCUAUUCUGGGCAUGUCUGCAGGCUGAAGACCAGUGACCUCCCUCAGAUGGUAGGGACUAACGUCAUUUAGGAGGCAGUGUGGG